GAAUCCCAGCCUUCCAAGCUGGUUGUGUGGGUUCGAUCCCCAUCACCCGCU
rnacentral:tRNA from 1 species